rnacentral:rRNA from 1 species
GGAGGAAAGCAGGGGAUCGCAAGACCUUGCGCUUUUGGAGCGGCCGAUGCCUGAUUAGCUAGUUGGUGGGGUAAUGGCCUACCAAGGCAACGAUCAGUAGUUGGUCUGAGAGGACGACCAGCCACACUGGGACUGAGACACGGCCCAGACUCCUACGGGAGGCAGCAGUGGGGAAUUUUGGACAAUGGGCGCAAGCCUGAUCCAGCCAUGCCGCGUGAGUGAAGAAGGCCUUCGGGUUGUAAAGCUCUUUCAGUCGGGAAGAAAAGGCUGCAGUGAAUAACUGUAGUUUAUGACGGUAUCGACAGAAGAAGCACCGGCUAACUACGUGCCAGCAGCCGCGGUAAUACGUAGGGUGCGAGCGUUAAUCGGAAUUAUUGGAGCGUAAAGGGUGCGCAGGCGGUGUGUAAGUCAGAUUGAUCCCC